CUCUGGUGUUCCCCUGGUCCCGUGGGGCCACGUAAAGUUCACGUGGAGGACCAAACUCUGUGACUCACCCCCCCCACAAAAAUCAUGCUGAAGUUUCCUGAAGACAGUGGAAUGAAUCUAGUGUAGAACGGAUCUGAGGGAGAAUGGCAGCCCCCGAAAGGCUGGCCUGGGUGGCUCUGAGGUGCUGUGGUUCAUGUGGACACAGCCCUGCUGCAGAUGACUGCAGGCAGCCCAGAGGUGUGAAAAAGCUGACAAGCCUGAAAGCUUUUCUCUUGCAUUGCUUAUGUUGGUUCAAAUCAGAAAGAAGAUUUAAUUGACUCCAGUGGGAGUUUUGCUUGAGUAAGGACUUAGGAGCUGAAGUGAGAGAUGAAAAAUAAAAUGUACCCUUGCUCACA